GAACCCAGGGAGGACUGCUUAUAUACACCCCAGCACUGGGGAGAGCUAUGUGUCCUCCUGGGAUUGGUCAGUCUGCCCGCACUUUAAUUUGUAUGUACCUGCUCUGGAGGGGUUGGCGCCAGAUUCGGGCUAGCGCCUGCGCAGUGGCGUUGUUUACGGUGCCAUCUUUUAGGCGCCAGAUGCCUACAUUACGCACGCUGUCUGCUAAAACUACAUUCUCAGGGUCCAGUGAGACAGCUCAUAGGGCAAUUGCAUUUGCUAAGGGAUUUGAAUACCUGUGUCUGAUCUCUGGGUCUGUGAUGGUAUUCUUUACUCGUCAACUUGACUGUAUCUGGACUGAGCUACAGUUCAGAAUGGAGGACACACCUGUGGUCAUGAUCUUGAGGCUGGAGGGCUACAUAUCUUUGAUCCAGGAUUUGAGAAUGGAAGACAUAGGGUUUUGAUCUGAGGUGAGAGGACACUUGCUUCCCAUCCAGAUCUUGAGGCACAUCUUUAAUCUGGACCACACCUUCAGCUGGAAUCCUAUAUAAGAACAGUGGAAGAAGAAGGGCUCAUUCAUUCCUCACCUGAUUACCUCCACUCUGCCAGCAUAGCUGCUUCUUCACUGGCACUGGAUCCUAAUACUUCAAGAUUCCAGCUUCUACAUAAGAUCAGCUGAGACUCCAGACACAUGUGACUGAACAACUACUAGAUGCUUGGACUUUCCAUUCGCAGGGGAUCAUUUCUGGAUGAGUUGUACCGCAGCAUAGAACAGACAUCACAGUCUAAAGAAGGUCUGGAACUACCUGUGAUUUCAUGCAUCCUUUGAGGAGAAUGGGAUUCCACUAGAGAUGACACUUCUGAAAUGGGCAGCGCAGCCAGUGCUGCACUGAAGAUAUUUCACCCACAACAACCCAUCUAUAUGUAUUUCUUUUAAAGCUGAUGUAGCUGGAUAGCUGUCUGCAGUCUAGUUGUUAUGCAUGUGUGUGCAGUGCCUUCAGAGGCUGUAAGAGGGUAUCAGACCAUUGGAGUUGCAGCUGCUUGUGAAGUGCCUUCAUAGCAAUGCACAUGGAAGUUGGGUCUGCUGUAAAGGCAGAGAGUGCUCUUAACUGUUGAGCUCUCUUUGCA